UACGAAGGGAGCUAGCGUUGCUCGGAAUUACUGGGCGUAAAGGGCGCGUAGGCGGACAGUUUAGUCAGAGGUGAAAGCCCAGGGCUCAACCUUGGAAUUGCCUUUGAUACUGACUGUCUUGAGUACGGGAGAGGUGUGUGGAACUCCGAGUGUAGAGGUGAAAUUCGUAGAUAUUCGGAAGAACACCAGUGGCGAAGGCGACACACUGGCCCGUUACUGACGCUGAGGCGCGAAAGCGUGGGGAGCAAACAGG
rnacentral:rRNA from 1 species